GGCAGAAGCUGGCCAACUCUGGGCCCAAGCUCCAGCCUGUCUCCGGGGGGCCUCCUGUGUCUGCUCCUGCUGUUCUGGGCACAGCCUCCAAGUACCCUCAAGGGCCAAAAGCUCCCCUGAAACCCCAGAAGCCCAAGAAGGGAGCAAGGGUGCACUGGCCAGACUCCAAGUUCUUGGGUCCCCUGCGGGUCUGAUUUCCUUUCCCAGCAGCCAACAGAACUCACAACCAGAGCACAAAAGCUCCUGUGCUUACCCCUUAAGCCAUACCCAUUGCUCCUUCUACUUGAGAUCCACCCCAUUAUUUAACUGAUGCUACAUAUUCCCUAUAGCCAUGUGAAAGAGCAUUUUU